CACGUAGGGCGCGAGCGUUGUCCGGAAUUAUUGGGCGUAAAGAGCUCGUAGGCGGUCUGUUACGUCCGCUGUGAAAACCCAGGGCUUAACCCUGGGCUUGCAGUGGAUACGGGCAGACUAGAGGCAGGUAGGGGAGAAUGGAAUUCCCGGUGUAGCGGUGAAAUGCGCAGAUAUCGGGAGGAACACCGGUGGCGAAGGCGGUUCUCUGGGCCUGACCUGACGCUGAGGAGCGAAAGCGUGGGGAGCGAA
rnacentral:rRNA from 1 species